GCCGGUGUAGCUCAACUGGAAGAGCAUUCGUUUCGUAAGCGAAAGGUCAAGGGUUCGAAUCCCUUCAUCGGCU
rnacentral:tRNA from 1 species